rnacentral:lncRNA from 10 species
CCCAGAGUGAAAGACAGAGGAACCAAUCGAGGCUCGGCUGACCUCAGACGUCUAAGGCGAUAGGCGUUGCUAAGAAAAGGGGGUGGGACGAUACCCAGUUGCCAAGACGACGGCUUCCGGGUGGGCGGCUUGAGGUGGCUUCCGGCCGCCAGGCGAGACUCCGCGGGAAAACUCCCUGCUAGAGAGACUAGGAGAUUUGGGGCUGCGGCCGUUUCCUCCGGAGCACCCACGGGACUGUGUGCUGGGGUCCCUCCACCGGCUGUGUCCUUUAUUCUUCUUUCUCACCCAACGAUUUACCUGAACGGUUAUAAAGUGCACGUUAUUUCCCUAAGCACUUUGAGUAUAUUGGCCCACUGCAUUCUGGACUUCAAAAUUUCUGAUGCGAAAUAUGCUGAUACUUUUGUUGAAGAAAUCUGGUCCUUCUUACUGAUGUGUUGCUCUUCUUCAUGGCUCGUGAAAACUAUUAGAGUCAUCCAAGGAUGAAACAAUCCUAUUAACCCAUGGAUUUAAUGUCUACAAAGCAGAAAGUAGAAUAACUUGGACUUAAAGGUACUUAUGUCAUGCUAUUUUACCAAUUGAUUGUUAACGAAACAUCUAAACAGUAUUAAGCACUUGCUAGGUGCUGGGGAUUACAAAAAUCAAUGGUUGCCACAUAGCUCCUAACCAUAAACAGCUGACAAACUCUAUCUGACAACAAGAGAAGCAUAGAAUUUAAGUUCUCCUCCUCCAACCUUCCUAAAAGUAGAGAAAGUGAUAAUGUUACAUGUUCUUUGGCUUUAUAAUGUAGAAAAUAUAUCUGACUCAGAAGGCAAAUUGGGAUUUGACUGCAACUCUGACACCCGAGUUCCCAAUCUGUGAGGCUUAGUUCUCGAGGCUGCAAAACGAAGGUAGCAUUGGACCCAAGAAGAAUAUGAGAACCUAAUGAACGUGCUCUAAUAUCCCCCAUGGAAAGGCACAAUGGUAUUUUUUUUAAAUAAUCAUGAUUAUAAUAACAGAGGUACUUUACAAUUGGCACAAAAGUUAAAGCUGGAACAAAGCAGGCAAGAUUAACAUGGCCACUCUGUAAGAAUAAUAUGCAAAUCUAUAAGGUAUUUUCUAUAGUGAUGAACAAUGAUUUGCUCCUUAAUCUACAUUUUCACUGCCCUUUAUCUAUAC